UUGGAGGGCAAGUCUGGUGCCAGCAGCCGCGGUAAUUCCAGCUCCAAUAGCGUAUAUUAAAGUUGUUGCAGUUAAAAAGCUCGUAGUUGACUUUCGGGAUCAAUUUGUUGGUCGUGCCCUAGGUACGUACUAAUUUAUUGGUUUCUUCCUUCUGACGAACCAUAAUGUCAUUAAUUUGAUGUCAGGGAGAAUCAGGACUGUUACUUUGAAAAAAUUAGAGUGUUUAAAGCAGGCUCACGCUUGAAUACAUUAGCAUGGAAUAAUGAAAUAGGACGUUUUGAUUCUAUUUUGUUGGUUUCUAGGAUCGACGUAAUGAUUAAUAGGGAUAGUUGGGGGCAUUAGUAUUCAAUUGUCAGAGGUGAAAUUCUUGGAUUUAUUGAAGACUAACUACUGCGAAAGCAUUUGCCAAGGAUGUUGUCAUUAAUCAAGAACGAAAGUUAGGGGAUCGAAGACGAUCAGAUACCGUCGUAGUCUUAACCAUAAACGAUGCCGACUAGGGAUCGGAUGAUGUUAAUUUGUUAAUGACUCAUUCGGCGCCUUACGGGAAAC
rnacentral:rRNA from 1 species